GACGAACGCUGGCGGCGUGCUUAACACAUGCAAGUCGAACGAUGGAGCGGGUGCUUGCACUCGUGGAUUAGUGGCGAACGGGCGAGUAACACGUGAGUAACCUGUCCUUUUCUUUGGGAUAACGGCUGGAAACGGCUGCUAAUACUGGAUAUUCAGGCUGCAUCGCAUGGUGUGGUUUGGAAAGGUUUUUUCUGGGAUUGGGUGGGCUCGCGGCCUAUCAGCUUGUUGGUGGGGUGAUGGCUUACCAAGGCUUUGACGGGUAGCCGGCCUGAGAGGGUGGGCGGUCGCACUGGGACUGAGAUACGGCCCAGACUCCUACGGGAGGCAGCAGUGGGGAAUAUUGCACAAUGGACGAAAGUUUGAUGCAGCGACGCCGCGUGGAGGGUGUAGGCCUUCGGGUUGUGAACUCCUUUUUCUCGCGAAAAAGGCACAGUUUUGGCUGUGUUGAUGGUAGUGGGGGAAGAAGCGCCGGCUAACUACGUG
rnacentral:rRNA from 1 species